rnacentral:tRNA from 1 species
GCGCUCGUAGCUCAGCAGGAUAGAGCACCAGAUUCCUAAUCUGGGGGUCGCAGGUUCGAGUCCUGCCGGGCGCGCCA